AUUGAACGCUGGCGGCAUGCCUUACACAUGCAAGUCGAACGGCAGCACGGGUGCUUGCACCUGGUGGCGAGUGGCGAACGGGUGAGUAAUAUAUCGGCACGCACCUUAUUGUGGGAGAUAACGCAGCGAAAGCUGUUCUAAUACCGCAUAAUCGCUAAGGCGGAAAGCGGGGGACCGUAAGGCCUCGCGCAAUUAGAGCGGCGGAUACAUGGUUAGCUAGUUGGUGGGGUAAAGGCCUACCAAGCCGAGGAUCUGUAGCUGGUCUGAGAGGACGGGGAGGCAGACUUGGACUGAGGGACGGCCCAGAUUCCUACGGGAGGCAGCAGUGGGGACUUCUGGACGAUGGACGCAAGACUGUUCCAGCCAUGCCGAGUGCAGGAUGAAGGCCUUCGGGUUGUAAGCUGCUUUUGUACGGAACGAAAAGGUCUCUUUUAAGACAGGGAACUGAUGACGGUACCGUAAGAAUAAGCACCGGCUAACUACGUGCCAGCCGCCGCGGUAA
rnacentral:rRNA from 1 species